CGUAGUUCAGUUGGUAGAGCGCCAGAUUGUGAUUCUGGUUGUCGUGGGUUCGAGCCCCAUCG
rnacentral:tRNA from 1 species